rnacentral:rRNA from 1 species
GAUGAACGCUGGCGGCGUGCUUAACACAUGCAAGUCGAACGGAAAGGCCCAACCUUGCUUGGGUACUCGAGUGGCGAACGGGUGAGUAACACGUGGGUGACCUGCCCUGCACUUCGGGAUAAGCCCGGGAAACUGGGGCUAAUACCGGAUAGGACGAUGGUCUGGAUGCCAGUGUGGAAAGAUUUUUCGGUGUGGGGUGUGGUCGCGGCCUAUCAGCUUGUGGUGGGGGGGAUGGCCUACAACGGCGUCGACGGGUGGACGGCCUGUGAGGGUGUACGGCGACAUUGUGACAGUGAGACGGCGCAGAGUCUUAUGGGGGGCAGCAGAGUGGAAUAUAGCACACUGUGCGCAAGACUGAUGCAGCGACGCCGCGUGUGCGAGGACGGCGUUCGGGUUGUAUACUCCGUUCGCGAGUGACGAGGCGUUUUUGUGACGGUACCUGGUGAAGAAGCACCGGCUAACUACGUG